rnacentral:lncRNA from 1 species
UAAAUUUGAUCUUCUUCAUGAUUUUGAUCAUAUUUUUACUUCCAAAUUCCUUUGCUAAUUUGGGUUUUUGUAUUUUCGUCGUUUGGUUGAAUUUUUUAUUCUUCUAGAAUUUCAUUCUUUUAUUAAAAAUCUUCUCCUCCAAUUUUCAGUAGCAAUCUCCACGUUUCUCGUGCCGUCUUUGUUUUUGAAAUUUUUUCAAUCAACGAUAAAUUCAUUGCUUAAAAAGUAUAUGCUAAAACUUCUGUCUUUCUUUUUAAAUUCUUUUUUACCAAAUUCUUUUUCAAAAUUACUGUUCUCCAUUACACUACACAAAUCUUGAGAUUCUAAAAAAUAUCGGAUGACUAUUUUUCAUUAUUUAAAGUUUAUUCCAUCGAACUUUGGUAAGCCAUAUUGAAUAAAUCAAUCUAAAUCCAUAACAAAACUUGAAGAUUCGAAAAAUAAGUUCGGAUUUGUACCCUUCUAUUUGGAUGACGUCCUUAGUUUAUCGAAAUCUCGCUGAAUUUUCUGUACUUUGGCUUGCUUGGCUAACCCUCCAUGCUAUCUGGUCAAAUCUUCUUUGAUCUCUUCACGGGCUCUCGUUGCUCUCUUUUCAUCAAGUAUCACAACCAUUUUUUCUUCGAAGUGAUUCCUUACUUCAGUUUCACCUGAACGUCAUCUUCGUCAAUCUGCUACGAAUUGCUUGACUUUGACAUAGCUAUCUGGUACAUUCAUUCUAUAUUCUUUUCGAAUCUAUUAUCGUCUAACUUAUUUUUGGCUCUAAUACCAAUUGUUGAAAACGUGAUUUUUUUUAUAUCAAUUAUUGAAAUCGGUAUUUAUGCUGAUACCAAUUAUGUAACCCAAUAUCUAAAAUCGAAUAAAAUAAUAUGAAAAGGAGAUAUUAGAGGAGAAAGUUGAAAAUUAAAUUAAUACUUUAUUAGUAAAAAGUAUUUAAUUAUACUUGGACGACA